GCAGGGAGGGGUAAUAGAAACGAGACAUGGUUUUGCUAUUCCUAGAUUAGCCAUCUACUGGGCUGGCAGCCCUCACAUGGCUGGCCUGCCCUGUCUCGUGAGAUGGAUCAGCCCUGAGGUAACAUGUCAGGAAAGGACAUUUGUGCUAGAAGUAGCAGAAGCCUCUGUGAGCCAUCCUUCACGCAGAACUAGUCAGGAGCAGCUCCCGCUCAGCCAAGAGAGUGAAGCAUGCCCAUCACCCAGCUCAGCCAGACACACGUUACUAGCACCUCGAAGGUUGGAAAUUCCAGUACUCUCCUGAGGCCACUUCCCCAGCGAAUCCUGCUAACCACACAGUCAGUGUUUGCUGCGCUCACCAUCGAGCACACACCUCCUUGCAGUGGCUUCGGCACCCAGAUCUCCGGGAGCCAGUGAAGGAACCAAGUGUUGGAUACUGAGCAAGUCGCGUAACAUCUGAGUAGUCGUGAAAUUUCAACGGUAUAAAGGACACGACGUUGUCUUAUAGAUUGAAAAAUGCUAUAAAAUGAAGUUCUUACUAUUAUUUUGAUGAUGACCCUGGAGAUCAGCGCAGAGCCCUGGGGGAGGGCUACAGUUGCAAGUGCUCCAAGGAUCAGAUCGCGCACCCCUCCCCACCGGAGAAAACCUCUUGAUGCCGGAGCUCGGGCAGCCUCUUCCACACUUCCAGGCAGCCCCGGCAUUGCCACAGCCCGUGGAGCUGGACAGAAAUCCACCAGGCACUAAAAUAAGUUAGAUGGAAGACGGGAUGGAUUUGACCAAAUUCCUGUCAGCAUCUGCUCAUUAUAAUUGCAACAUAAUCAGAGCAGAAAGAAGCCCAGAGAUUAUUUUGUCUUCAAGGAUCGUUGGCCUCAGUAUUUUCUCCAUCUGAAGCUGUGUUGUCCAAAGCAGAUUUACUCCAGCUGGCCAGCUCAGAAAAGGGCCGACUCUGGGCUGGCGACUCCUUGAGAAGGGCUCUCUCUGGUCCCAGGUGGUAUUUCCUUAACCGUAUCAUCAUCUGCUUCAUUCGUGUUCCCUUCAUGUCCAUUAUGUGAGGAGGGGAACUGACAGGGCCAGGGUGCCGGCUCAGAGGCAAUCCCUGCUCAUCCUCUGGAGCCACUUCAUCACCCAGCCACUCUGUCCACUAAUGUCUCCCGGCCUACAAACCUGCAGGUGUUCUGCCCCCGUACUAGAAUAAGGGAACACAUUUUUACUGAGCUCUGACAAUGUGCCUGGGCUUUUCAGGAGCUAUUUCAUUUAAUUUUUAAUGUAAAACAUUGUUUUACAUAUUAAGAACCUAAAAGCACAAAGAGUAAGUAACUUGCUUGUGGAAGCUUAUACAGCGAGAUAAGUGGUAAAGCUGCAAUUCCCAGUUUUGUUUGAUGCCAGGCUGACGGUGCAAGGCCAUCUGGGCAUGGCCUGAGUGGAUAUUAGGGAAAAAUGUCCUAAAAGGUCCAGAAUCUCUAAUAAUUUCUCCUACCUCUCAUUUUAUUUUAUUUUUGACGAUGGAGUUUUUUUGUUUUGUUUUGUUUUGUUUUUGAGUCAGGGUCUUGCUCUAUUGCCCAGGCUGGAGUGCAGUGGUGCAAUUUCACCUCACUGCAACCUCUGCCUCCCAAGUUCAAGCAAUUCUCCUGCCUCAGCCUCCUGCAUAGCUGGGACUACAGGCAUGUACCACCACACCCAGCUAAUUUUUGUGGAGAUGGGGUUUUGUCACAUGGCCCAGGCUGGUCUCAAACUCCUGAGCUCAAGCAAUCUGCCCUCAUCAGCCUCCCAAAGUGCUGGGAUAACAGGCAUGAACCACUGCACUCGGCCAAAAUAUUUAUUUUAGAAAAACUGAAAAAUAUAGAAACUUAAAGGAAGAAAAGCAUCCAUAAUCUCAUAACCUAGAGAAAGCCAUGAGUAAUAUUCAUAUUUCUUUCCAGUCUUUUUUGUAGCUUUCUAGCUUUAAACUAAGUUGAGAUAAAACCGUACACACACACACACACACACACACACACACACACACACACACACAGACACAGACACACAAGUGCAUCCUGCUUUUUGUUAAAAAUAACUUUGUGGGAAAUUCCUCUUCCUUUGGGGAUUUUUAAAAAACAUUAAUUUAAAUGUCAUACAAUAUUUUUAUCAUAUGAGUAUCUCAUAAUUUCCCUUUUAUCGAAUAUUUCCAACUUUUAUUGAUUGUAAAUAAUGGCAAUAAAAUUUUUUCUUCAUAAA